UUAAAUACCGACCUGCAUGAAUGGCGUAACGAGAUGGGAGCUGUCUCAAAGAGGGAUCCAGUGAAAUUGUAGUGGAGGUGAAAAUUCCUCCUUCCCGCGGCAAGACGGAGAGACCCCGUGGACCUUUACUAUAGCUUGACACUGCUAUUUGGAUAAAGAUGUGCAGGAUAGGUGGGAGGCUUUGAAGCUAGGACGCCAGUUCUAGCAGAGCCAUUGUUGAGAUACCACUCUUCUUUAUUUGGGUAGCUAACUAGCUUGAGUUAUCCUCAAGUAGGACAAUGUCUGGUGGGUAGUUUGACUGGGGCGGUCGCCUCCCAAAUAAUAACGGAGGCUUACAAAGGUUGGCUCAAAAUGGUUGGAAAUCAUUUGUAGAGUAUAAAGGCAUAAGCCAGCUUAACUGCGAGUCAUACAAGACGAGCAGAGACGAAAGUCGGUCUUAGUGAUCCGGUGGUUCUGUGUGGAAGGGCCAUCGCUCAAAGGAUAAAAGGUACCCCGGGGAUAACAGGCUGAUCUCCCCCAAGAGCUCACAUCGACGGGGAGGUUUGGCACCUCGAUGUCGGCUCAUCGCAUCCUGGGGCUGGAGCAGGUCCCAAGGGUAUGGCUGUUCGCCAUU
rnacentral:rRNA from 1 species